rnacentral:rRNA from 1 species
UACGUAGGGUGCGAGCGUUGUCCGGAAUUAUUGGGCGUAAAGAGCUCGUAGGCGGUUUGUUGCGUCUAUCGUGAAAACCUGCAGCUUAACUGUGGGCUUGCGGUGGAUACGGGCAGACUUGAGUUCGGUAGGGGAGACUGGAAUUCCUGGUGUAGCGGUGAAAUGCGCAGAUAUCGGGAAGAACACCCGUGGCGAAGGCGGUUCUCUGGGACGGUACUGACGCUGAGACGCGAAAGCGUGGGGAGCGAACAGG